UACGUAGGUGACAAGCGUUGUCCGGAUUUACUGGGCGUAAAGAGCGCGCAGGCGGUCGAUCAAGUCGAGUGUGAAAGCCCCCGGCUCAACUGGGGAGGGUCAUUCGAUACUGAUCGACUCGAAGGCAGGAGAGGUGAGUGGAAUUCCGAGUGUAGAGGUGAAAUGCGUAGAUAUCUGGAGGAAUACCGGUGGCGAAGGCGGCAUCCUGGACCGGCAUUGACGCUGAGGCGCGAAAGCGUGGGGAGCAAACAGG
rnacentral:rRNA from 1 species